CCUUGUCAGAGUCCUGCAGAACUUCUCCUUCAAACCUUGUAAAGAAACACAGAUCCCCCUGAAAUUAUAUACUCAAGGGUUAAUUCGACCGGAAAAACCCAUUGUUCUCAAGGUUGAGCCAAGAGAUGGGAAUGUGAGUGGAGCCUGACUUUCCCUAAGGACUUCCCCUUUGUUCUUCAAGAAGCUGUAACCCAGAUCACCAGAGACCUCAGUUUCCUUUGUGAGUAAAACCCAGAAAUAAAGAUGAGCUUCACGUACUG